CGUGGAGACAGGUGGUGCAUGGCUGUCGUCAGCUCGUGUCGUGAGAUGUUGGGUUAAGUCCCGCAACGAGCGCAACCCUCACCCCUUGUUGCCAUCAGGUCAUGCUGGGCACUCUAGGGGAACUGCCCCGGUCAACGGGGAGGAAGGCGGGGAUGACGUCAAGUCAUCAUGCCCCUUACGUCCUGGGCUACACACGUGCUACAAUGGCCGGUACAAAGGGAUGCAACGCCGCGAGGCAGAGCCAAACCCAAAAAGCCGGUCUAAGUUCAGAUUGGAGUCUGCAACUCGACUCCAUGAAGGAGGAAUCGCUAGUAAUCGCGUAUCAGCACGACGCGGUGAAUACGUUCCCGGGCCUUGUACACACCGCCCGUCACACCACGAAAGCCAGCUGUACUCGAAGUCGCUGAG
rnacentral:rRNA from 1 species